rnacentral:lncRNA from 1 species
CUCUGAAGCCACGUGCAUAGGCUUCUGGCCAACAGCUCAACUGAGUUUCCAGUCAACAGACAGUGCCAGCUGCCAGGCACAUACACAAGCCAACCUGGAUAUCCAGUUCCAACAGCCCAGCCACCAUCUGACUGCAGCCUCAUGGGAGACAUUGAGUUCUGCCAGCCUGUUUCUAUAUCUGACUCUUGUGGCAUAAUAAUUAAUUUCAACCACUAAAUUUGGGGGAGAUAUACCACAAAAUUAAUACUAACAUGACCCAUUAUCUCUGGGGGUUACUAUUCUAGAAAAACCUAUGAAUUCUGCUUCUCUAUUCCCUAAUCAAGCAAUUGAGUCCUUUGUCAGUUUUCAAAGCAAGGGUGCAGACGAACCCAGUAGCUCACCACUCCUUUAGUCCAUAAACCCAAACAAAUUCUGGAGCCUGUACAUGGAUAACCCACCAAGAUGAAAGGGGCUGCCCCCACUUAAUGAAGGCAAGAAAGAUAAAGCCUGUCUAAAAUGAGAGCUAUAAUCAUCAGAGGCUUCUGAAACAUGAUGUUUCCUAGGUACUGAACAAAGACUUGGUUACUAGAAAGGUUCAGAAAUUCUUCUCCUCAGAAAGGAAAUGAGGGGGGGAAAAAAAACCUUCACAGAAACAUUGUGAUUGAAGGCAACUCCACCCCCACACCGGGCUGCAAUGCUGACUUCAUCCCCUGCAACGGCGCUGUGACUAAUUUCUGACAAUUACUCCAAACUUCUGAAUAUUCCCCCCAGCCAAGACAGCAGUAGGAAACCUUUCCAUAUGGCCAAAUCUUUCCACAGUCGGUAGUGUUUACAGGAUUCGUAAAUUAGACCUUUCACUUGUAUAAAAGGAAAGAAUUGCACAUGGGACCAUUUGUUCUUCCUCGUUUCGUUCCCUUCCAUCUGAAUCACGCAGUGUUCUUCGUGUGUUCCUGUCCCUGUCCAACAGCAAGGGGGAGAGAAACAAAACCCCAUCCUGCCAACAGGACAGACGCCAGAUCCUUCUCGGUUAAGUCACAGCAGUGAAUGUCACCCUGUGCCUGUCUUGGCAGCCAGCUGGCUUUCCAAGGCGAUACCCCUGUGAAUCGCCUGAACUUCAUUCACAGGGUUCAAGGAAAAGAAGGGAAGAAAAGCUAAACUAGAUUAGACCAAUCUUCCUCCUCGAGCAAUCUUGAGCUCUUAGCAGCAGCGGUGACUGGCAGUUACCCUUUGAGCUAUUUACCUCAUUAGAGGAGGGGCAGCCCCAAACAGCCCCUUUUCUUUAGUAACCCACCACUUAAGCGGCUCCUUUUUUCCGCUGUCAUUAUGCCCUGCCAAUUUCUGCUGCCACCAUCAUUGUUCUCGCCUUCAUUAUCACUCACAUCCCAGCUACUGGAAAGUCUGAUUGCUGUGUUGUGUUUUCCCUCACCCCUGCUAGAUCCAUCUCUGUGAAACACUUCCAUGGUCUCACUUGCUGGCUCAGAGCCCCACUGCCACUGU